UGUCUGGGACAAUGCUGACAAGAAAAUCUGGGGCCCCCAGGUGCAGUGGCUCAUACCUGUAAUCCCAGCGUUUUGGGAGGCCAAGACUACUCAAUGGGAAAACAAUGAGGAUAACACGUUUUAUAAUGAUCUACUUCCACUUAAUGAAUAGCAGGUAUAAAGCAACAUGAAUGUUUCCUCACCACUACAAACUUGCUCCAAGUUCCUUGGUCUUCUAGGCUCUUGUGAGGAGACAACAGAGAUGCCGAACCCACAUCUCUGUCUUCUUUUGGGCCUGCCACACAUCAGUCUUCUGCCUGAACAUUCCAAAGAGCAGCAUGCAAAGAAGAAAGCUGCCAUAUAGCUUGAAGAUGUUGAUCUUUCUCUCCUAUGACAGGAUUGUUUGACGGUAAUAGAUGAAAAGGUCAGAGUCUUUCUCUUCCCACUACCCACUACCCAACCAAGACACUACCAAACUCUUCAGAAUAUUGAAUUGUGGUUCAAACAUACAUGUAGAGUGAAGAUUUACUUUGAAAGGGCAUGGAUAUGAAACCAAAAGCACAGCCAACAAAUUAAAAAAUAAACAACUGGGAUUAUAUUGAACUAAAAAAGCU
rnacentral:lncRNA from 13 species